rnacentral:rRNA from 1 species
UACGGAGGGGGCUAGCGUUGUUCGGAAUUACUGGGCGUAAAGCGCACGUAGGCGGCUUUGUAAGUUAGAGGUGAAAGCCCAGGGCUUAACUCUGGAAUUGCCUUUAAGACUGCAUCGCUAGAAUCGUGGAGAGGUGAGUGGAAUUCCGAGUGUAGAGGUGAAAUGCGCAGAUAUCAGGAGGAACACCAAUGGCGAAGGCAGCUCGCUGGGACGGUACUGACGCUGAGACGCGAAAGCGUGGGGAGCAAACAGG